ensembl:antisense Gm38039 predicted gene, 38039
CCUUCAGGAUCUUUUAUUAACGUAUAGAAAAUGUGUUUAAAAAAGGAACUAUACAGAGGCUAAAAGCAACUGGGACUAAAAAUACUAGUUAACAAUGGUUAACAAGCAGAUUCCAGUCUUUGAGCUACAGCGCCAUGAAAGGAUGGGGCAAGUUGGCUCUCCCUCUUCAAUCCUCUAUAGCCUUUUGUUUGAUUUCAUCAGAGUGUGCACCACCUGAUGAGAAUAUACCAUAUACCCCUUCUCUUCUUCUUCCUUCUGGCCUUUUUUUUUUUUCUUAAAAAAAAAAAAAGCCUUUUCAAGAACAGUGUAGCUACAAAGUCAGUAAAUUCGUUCGUCUUUUAUUAUUAGGAGAGAUGCAUAUGGGAGAGUUGGGGUGUGGAAGAAGCAAAGGCCAAGAGGGAAGCAGUAAGUCAAAGAACUUCAGAAGUUUGUUCUGAGGGCCCA